UGAAGAGGAAAAGGAAGAAGGGUUUGAGUGAGUGAGAAAGAACUCGGGGUGAGUCUGGGAAUCGCCAAUAGAGAAGUUUUCAAAAUGAGUUGUCUCAUGGGUUGAGUUAUUUAUUGCUGCAUUUGCAUGACCAUUGUUAAAUCAGAUUGUUCAAGAAACCAUUUUUUUGAAGUUUUUUUCUUCUUCUUAUUUUACAAAUUUUCUACUUUCUAAUAUGAAUUUCAAUUUUU
rnacentral:lncRNA from 1 species